UUGCAAAGCACUCUGAAAAGAGGGUGAAAAGAACCUGAAACCGUUAUGUUGAAAGCGUAUUGCAGCAGAGUGAAGGGUGCGUUUUGUUCAGCUUGCGCUUGCGUAGGUGUACUCGGAACGUUAUCCGCCAGUCGUGAGCUUUCGGUGGCUGAUCCAUAGUCGCUGGAGGUGGAGGGCUCCCCUUUACGGGUAGAGGACGAAUCUGGAUAAUGCUGUGAUUCGACCCGUCUUGAAACACGGACCAAGAAGUCUAGCGUACAUGCGAGUCAAAGGGUGUAAAAACCUGUGGGCGCAGUGAAAGCGAUUUUUAAAACGUUGCAGUUUGAGGCGGCAUACGAUCGUUGAUUGUAGGUCUGACCCCGAGCAUGUAUGAUAGGACCCGAAAGAUGGUGAACUAUGCUUGAGUAGGGUGAAGCCAGGAGAAAUCCUGGUGGAAGCUCGUAGCGGUGCUGACGUGCAAAUCGCUCGUCUAACUUGAGUAUAGGGGCGAAAGACUAAUCGAACCAUCUGGUAGCUGGUUUCCUCCGAAGUUUCUCUCAGGAUAGCGGACCGAUAUAGUGUUGUUGUGUGC
rnacentral:rRNA from 1 species